AUGUUCGCCGACAUGGGCUUUAGCUUCUCCGCCUACUCUUCUUCGCCAUCGGACUACUCCUACUCAUACUCCCCUGUCUUCUCCCACCCCCACUCAGACUACUCCUCCUUCUUCUCUCCCUCUUCCUCCGCUGCUCUGGCACAACCAUCAUCGCUAUCUCUGCCUCUCCUGCAUCAACAACAUCAAGCCACUGUUGUUGCUGCGCCCAACGACGUCGCCGCCGCCGCCAUGUACCACCACCUCGGAGACAUGGGGCAGCCAUCCCUGAUAUCAGAGUAUGACCUUGGAGCAGAAGGCGACCUGUUCAAGGCUCCGGAGCCCAUAAUCGAGGAACCGCUGCUCGCCCUCGACCCGGUCGCAGAGGCCAUCUCGAUGAUGUCCGGCAGCGGCAACACCAUCAAGGCGUCGGACAUGAGCCUGAGUGAGGCGCUGUACGAGUGCGAGAAGGAGCUCAUGGAGGAGUCGGCCAUCGAGGAGACCAUAUCCGAGCUGCUGGACGCCAAGAUCCCCAUGCUGCAGGUCGAGGACAUGCCCGGAGAGCUCAUGUCGACAACGACUGCUGCCGCCGGCGAGUGCUUGGUCCAGAAGAGCGUCAGCUCCGGGUGCCUCAACUCGGCGGACUGGAUCAACGGUUUGGCGAUGCAGCCCAACUUCUUCAACUUCCAAGGGCUCGACUUGGAGGCCGCGUUCGGGCUCCGGCGAGCCUACAGCGAGGGUGACGUUCAGAUCCUUGGUGCCAACACCCCUCCAGCUGGGAUCGCGGCAAAUGUGCACGCAGCUGGUGAGAGGCUUCUGACCAUCAGUGACCUGAAACGUGAGGAAAGGAAACAGAAGCUCAACAGGUACAGGGAGAAGAAGAUCCAGAGGAACUUCGGCAGAAAGAUCAAGUAUGCUUGCAGGAAGGUUCUAGCAGACAGCCAACCGAGGGUGCGAGGGAGGUUCGUCAAGAUGGAUGUCGGCGACAUGCUCAAGCCAAGGAAGUAG
rnacentral:rRNA from 1 species